AUUGAACGCUGGCGGCAUGCUUUACACAUGCAAGUCGAACGGUAACAGGCCGCAAGGUGCUGACGAGUGGCGAACGGGUGAGUAAUGCAUCGGAACGUGCCCAGUCGUGGGGGAUAACGCAGCGAAAGCUGCGCUAAUACCGCAUACGAUCUAUGGAUGAAAGCGGGGGACCGAAAGGCCUCGCGCGAUUGGAGCGGCCGAUGUCAGAUUAGGUAGUUGGUGGGGUAAAGGCUCACCAAGCCAACGAUCUGUAGCUGGUCUGAGAGGACGACCAGCCGAACUGGGACUGAGACACGGCCCAGACUCCUACGGGAGGCAGCAGUGGGGAAUUUUGGACAAUGGGCGCAAGCCUGAUCCAGCAAUGCCGCGUGCAGGAAGAAGGCCUUCGGGUUGUAAACUGCUUUUGUACGGAACGAAACGGUCUGGGUUAAUACCUCGGGCUAAUGACGGUACCGUAAGAAUAAGCACCGGCUAACUACGUGCCAGCAGCCGCCGUAAGAC
rnacentral:rRNA from 1 species